rnacentral:rRNA from 3 species
AAAUUGAAGAGUUUGAUCAUGGCUCAGAUUGAACGCUGGCGGCAGGCCUAACACAUGCAAGUCGAACGGUAGCACAGAGAGCUUGCUCUCG